AGCCAAGACUUGAAAAGUCAAAAAGACCAUCCAGGAAAGCAGCAAAGAGGAGGGGGUAACUAUGGAGAACUUGGACUUCAUGCUUGAGGAGAGAGUUCUGCUGAUGUUUUCUGGGCUCUGAGCUGACCCAGGCUCCUGGCUACCACAACACUAGAUUGGAUAGGCAGUACUGCCCAAUAUGGGGAUGUCGUGCUUUUUCUUUGCUCUAGAAAAAAUUGUUUUUUGAAGUAACUUUUACCAAGAAACCAGGAGAAAACAAAAACUCGAUCUUCAAAAUUACAGAAGUGAAUGUGAUGACUUUUUUUUGUCUGUUAUAGCAUAAUGUAUCUUUAAAAGUCUAUUAAAACCACCAUGUUGUUUGCUCAUAA
rnacentral:lncRNA from 1 species